UAAAAAUGUAAUUUAUUUAUUCUUAAUUAGUAUUAGUUAAAUUCUUAAAAGUUAAAGAUUUUGGCGGUAUUUUAGUCUUUUCAGAGGAACCUGUUCUAUAAUUGAUAAUCCACGAUUAAUUUUACUUUUAUUAUUAAUUUAUAUAUCGUCGUAGUUGAAUAUUUUAAAAGAAUAAAUAUUCGAGAUUUUUUAUUAAAUUAGAAAUCAGAUCAAGGUGUAGUUUAUAUAAAAGGAGUAAUGGGUUACAAUAAAUUUAUUUAUAUGAAUAUAAAAUUGAAAAUAUUUUAUUGAAAGUGGAUUUGUUAGUAAUUUUAAUUAUUUAUUAGGAUGAUUUUAGCUCUAAAAUAUGU
rnacentral:rRNA from 1 species